rnacentral:misc_RNA from 1 species
GCAAACUUGGUCAUUUAGAGGAAGUAAAAGUCGUAACAAGGUUUCCGUAGGUGAACCUGCGGAAGGAUCAUUAACAAUUGUCCUUUUGUGGAUAAUUUUAUCCAUAUCCACCUUGUGUGAACUAGUGAAAUGUUUAUUGGCAGGGGCACGAGCGAGAAGGAGCAAAUGGACUCCCUUCCUCGUCCUGCCAAUUUUAUUCGUCUCAACGCGUCUAAAAGUAAGCAAUUGGACUGAAACUGAUCAAAAUAUAACAAAUACAACUUUCAACAACGGAUCUCUUGGCUCUCGCAUCGAUGAAGAACGCAGC